GAUGCGAAGAACCUUACCAGCCCUUGACAUCCCGAUCGCGGUUACCAGAGAUGGUAUCCUUCAGUUAGGCUGGAUCGGUGACAGGUGCUGCAUGGCUGUCGUCAGCUCGUGUCGUGAGAUGUUGGGUUAAGUCCCGCAACGAGCGCAACCCUCGCCCUUAGUUGCCAUCAUUCAGUUGGGCACUCUAAGGGGACUGCCGGUGAUAAGCCGAGAGGAAGGUGGGGAUGACGUCAAGUCCUCAUGGCCCUUACGGGCUGGGCUACACACGUGCUACAAUGGUGGUGACAGUGGGCAGCGAGACCGCGAGGUCGAGCUAAUCUCCAAAAGCCAUCUCAGUUCGGAUUGCACUCUGCAACUCGAGUGCAUGAAGUUGGAAUCGCUAGUAAUCGUGGAUCAGAAUGCCACGGUGAAUACGUUCCCGGGCCUUGUACACACC
rnacentral:rRNA from 1 species